GGAUCACAUAACUGACUCUAAAGCAUGAAAAAAGAAGUGACCUGGUGGAAUUGCUUCUUUCCAGGAAUUCCCAAUGUCUUCCUUUUCAACAUUGGACCUAGAAUAAAAUUUUGUUUGAAGGAGUUAGUGGAGUUUAAACUGCAACCCCCCAUAGAACAGCUGCAUUAAGGUGUAUUCAUCGGUGUGAAGGUAUGUAUCACAUGGAUAUCAUAACAUCUUUGUGUGGCAACUGUUAGAGUUUAUUUCUUUUUCAUAGGGAAAGGCGCUUGUCAGGUGCAGAACUGUACAGCAUGAUUGGCAAAGCCCUUAAAGAAUACAAGGUUAAAUAAAAAAAUGAAGAUCUGUUAUUUUCAGUGGUGGCAUUUAUUGAUACUUGUUUAGAUAGAGACUCAUUAAGAAAAUCCAGUUACUUGAUAUGAAUACUUCUCAUAGUCUUCAGAUGAAGUCUGCAAGGGAGAACAGUAAUGAGGAGCAUUUACCUUAACAUUUUUCUUAGCACUGUCCUUAAAAGCAGCCUUUGCCCAGUACCCUCGAGGUAUGGGCAAGGUGCUUGGAAGGAAGAAUUAUUUAUCAAGAGCAUUAAAUAAAAUCAGUGAGCCAACAAACUUUUUCAAGAAUUGUCCAAGGGAGAUCAGAAAAUAAAGAAACAGUUGCUUGUGAUUUUGGUUUAUGCUUUAGUAUUUUUUAAUGAACUGUUUAUUGUUGCACUGUAUUGUGACCUAUUGAGAUCAUGGUGUUUCUAUAUAGCUCGCCUUUUUGCUGACUUGGUAGAAAUGUUAAUUUUCUCUUGUGUACAUACAUUCUGUCUCUCACAAAGCGCUGCUGGGAAUAUUUGUACAUCCGAGAUACCAGUCUGCCCAUUUUUUAUGCUGAGUUGUUCGGGUUAGCAGUGUCUGGAAGUGGAUUAUUGUGGAUUGUAUGUAAAGAGAAUGAUGAUUUCUCUAUGAUUAUUAAAAAAAAAAAAAAAAAAAGA